AGAGUUUGAUCCUGGCUCAGGACGAACGCUGGCGGCGUGCUUAACACAUGCAAGUCGAACGGAAAGGCCCCUUCGGGGGUGCUCGAGUGGCGAACGGGUGAGUAACACGUGGGUGAUCUGCCCUGCACUUUGGGAUAAGCCUGGGAAACUGGGUCUAAUACCGGAUAGGACCACGGUCUGCAUGGGCUGUGGUGGAAAGCUUUUGCGGUGUGGGAUGGGCCCGCGGCCUAUCAGCUUGUUGGUGGGGUGAUGGCCCACCAAGGCGACGACGGGUAGCCGGCCUGAGAGGGUGUCCGGCCACACUGGGACUGAGAUACGGCCCAGACUCCUACGGGAGGCAGCAGUGGGGAAUAUUGCACAAUGGGCGCAAGCCUGAUGCAGCGACGCCGCGUGAGGGAUGACGGCCUUCGGGUUGUAAACCUCUUUCAAUGCCGACGAAGCGCAAGUGACGGUAGGCGUAGAAGAAGCACCGGCCAACUACGUGCCAGCAGCCGCGGUA
rnacentral:rRNA from 1 species